rnacentral:rRNA from 1 species
GAUGAACGCUGGCGGCGUGCCUAAUACAUGCAAGUCGAGCGAACAGAUGAGGAGCUUGCUCCUCUGACGUUAGCGGCGGACGGGUGAGUAACACGUGGAUAACCUACCUAUAAGACUGGGAUAACUUCGGGAAACCGGAGCUAAUACCGGAUAAUAUAUUGAACCGCAUGGUUCAAUAGUGAAAGACGGUGUUGCUGUCACUUAUAGAGGGAUCCGCGCCGCAUUAGCUAGUUGUUAAGGUAACGGCCUACCAAGGCAACGAUGCGUAGCCGACCUGAGAGGGUGAUAGGCCACACUGGAAGUGAGCCAGGGUCAAGGGUACUACGGGAGGCAGCAGUCGGGAAUGUUCCGCAACGGGCGAAAGUAUGACGGAGCAACGGCGAGUGAGUGAUGAAGGUCUUCGGAGCGUAAAACUCUGUUAUGAGGGAAGAACAAAUGUGUAAGUAGAUGUGCACGUCUUGACGGUAACUAAUAAGAAAGCAACGGCUAACUACGUG